ensembl:lncRNA
AUGAGGAGAUUUUUCAGAGCGCAUAGCUACAGCGAUGAAGACAACAGUCAGAUCCAGUACCUGACGGCUAAGUGUAACCGUCUGACACAUGAAAAAGUAGUGCUGGAGAGGGAAUGCAUGGGGGCCAGGGAGAGAGAGAGGAGCCUGCAGAAUGAGCUGGAGGCUCUGUCCACACAGCUCUGCCAACAGGAGCAGGUCAACAUAGAUUUGAUGUUCAAACAUGAUCAAAUGCUCGGCAGGGUCCAUCAUGAACAGCAACGGGUACAUCUUGUGGUGGAGGAGAGCUUCAGAGAUGCUGCACUGCUGGGCCUACAGCUGGAACAGGUCAACUCGGAGCUACUGCACCUGCAAAGUUCUGAGGUGCAGCUGGAAGGCCUGGUGGAAGAGCUGCACACGGAGGACCUGCAGAGAGCUGCAUUGACAGAGGACCUUCAGGUGCAGCUGCACAGUAAGGUAUUGGAGUUGGAAGAGCUUCAGUGCUGCUACGCUGCCAACACCCAGGAGCUGGAGGAGCUGCGUAGCGCCAACCAGAGGAAGGUGCAGGGACUGCAGCGGGAGAACGAGUGCAGCCUGAAGAAGCUCCAGGAGACGGCCGAGCAGUUUGAGUGGCUGUGUGAACAGCAGCGCUACUGGAUGUGCUGUGUCAAGAGAUUCAAAGACUGCCUGUCAGAGGAGAAGGACUCUCUGGUGCAGCAGGUGAAACGGUUGGAGAAGGAGGUAGCAGAGCUGAGGAAGAGCUCAGAGAGCACCACCCAGAUGCUGUGCUGCCCCCUAGAGGACACAGUCAGCCAGCACUGUGACAGAAUGCCCUCUUGGGAAUCCGGUAAGAUGGCUGACCUGCAAACCCAGGUGGACAAAUGGAGAAAGCUGUAUGAGGACCUCUUCAGCCAGUUCACACCCCACCAAGGGGGGCACGUUGUCGACGGAUACCAAAAACCUCCUUGAGGUCAGAAGACCAUGAAAUCCAUCUAUUUUUCUUCAACCCAGUGGAGGCACUCCUAACUUUUGGCUGUUUGUCUCGCUACUCAACUGUUGCUGAGAACCAUACAACCUCACCGUUCUGUUGUUGUCAUUGUUUAAAUGUCUUGAAACCACUGCAUGACCAUGACUGUACUGGAGUGUGAUAUGCCACUUUGUUACAGUCUUUUGGUAUGAGUAUUACAGUGUUCUCCUAUUUGGACACUUUCCUGUCAUUGUCUAUUUUCAGACACACUGGUGGAACAUAGUAAAUCAACAAGUAAAAACACCUGAGAAUGUCUGUUUUGUUGUUGCUCUGCCAAUCCAGAUGAUGACUCUAGCUGAUGAGCAGAGAACCACAACACAUGCUAAUGUUUUGUCCUGGUGAACAUUCCUGACAUUAACUCCCAUUUACAAUUAACCAGAUGUGGGAUUAAAAACACAACUCAUGUAAAAUAUACUCUCUGUAAAAUGUACAUAUGUUCAGAACUUUUGUGAAACGGCACAGUUAAAAAAUAUAUGGCAAAAUGGAAAUCAAACUGGAUGCGCUUCAGCGAUAGAUGGUAGCUGAAAGAUGGGAUUAAAAACAAACAAGGGAACUAUUGUAAAAUACGUUGUCUGUAAAGUGUGUGUGUAGAAGCCUAAGUGGUCUUGUCCAUUAGUUUACUCCAAUUAGAAGGCAUGGUAGGUUUAGGGGGAAAAUAAUAAAGGAACAUAUAUUUUAAAAAGAUGUGUGUGUGUGUGUGUGUGUGUGUGUGUAUAUAUGUAUAUAUAUAUAUAUAUAUAUAUAUAUAGUAGCAGUCAAAAGUUUGGACACCUACUCAUUCAAGGGUUUUUAUUUUUACUAUUUUAUACAUUGUAGAAUA